rnacentral:rRNA from 1 species
GUUAAGCGACUAAGCGUACACGGUGGAUGCCCUGGCAGUCAGAGGCGAUGAAGGACGUGCUAAUCUGCGAUAAGCGUCGGUAAGGUGAUAUGAACCGUUAUAACCGGCGAUUUCCGAAUGGGGAAACCCAGUGUGAUUCGUCACACUAUCAUUAACUGAAUCCAUAGGUUAAUGAGGCGAACCGGGGGAACUGAAACAUCUAAGUACCCCGAGGAAAAGAAAUCAACCGAGAUUCCCCCAGUAGCGGCGAGCGAACGGGGAGCAGCCCAGAGCCUGAAUCAGUGUGUGUGUUAGUGGAAGCGUCUGGAAAGGCGCGCGAUACAGGGUGACAGCCCCGUACACAAAAAUGCACAUGCUGUGAGCUCGAUGAGUAGGGCGGGACACGUGGUAUCCUGUCUGAAUAUGGGGGGACCAUCCUCCAAGGCUAAAUACUCCUGACUGACCGAUAGUGAACCAGUACCGUGAGGGAAAGGCGAAAAGAACCCCGGCGAGGGGAGUGAAAAAGAACCUGAAACCGUGUACGUACAAGCAGUGGGAGCACGCUUAGGCGUGUGACUGCGUACCUUUUGUAUAAUGGGUCAGCGACUUAUAUUCUGUAGCAAGGUUAACCGAAUAGGGGAGCCGAAGGGAAACCGAGUCUUAACUGGGCGUUAAGUUGCAGGGUAUAGACCCGAAACCCGGUGAUCUAGCCAUGGGCAGGUUGAAGGUUGGGUAACACUAACUGGAGGACCGAACCGACUAAUGUUGAAAAAUUAGCGGAUGACUUGUGGCUGGGGGUGAAAGGCCAAUCAAACCGGGAGAUAGCUGGUUCUCCCCGAAAGCUAUUUAGGUAGCGCCUCGUGAAUUCAUCUCCGGGGGUAGAGCACUGUUUCGGCAAGGGGGUCAUCCCGACUUACCAACCCGAUGCAAACUGCGAAUACCGGAGAAUGUUAUCACGGGAGACACACGGCGGGUGCUAACGUCCGUCGUGAAGAGGGAAACAACCCAGACCGCCAGCUAAGGUCCCAAAGUCAUGGUUAAGUGGGAAACGAUGUGGGAAGGCCCAGACAGCCAGGAUGUUGGCUUAGAAGCAGCCAUCAUUUAAAGAAAGCGUAAUAGCUCACUGGUCGAGUCGGCCUGCGCGGAAGAUGUAACGGGGCUAAACCAUGCACCGAAGCUGCGGCAGCGACGCUUAUGCGUUGUUGGGUAGGGGAGCGUUCUGUAAGCCUGUGAAGGUGUGCUGUGAGGCAUGCUGGAGGUAUCAGAAGUGCGAAUGCUGACAUAAGUAACGAUAAAGCGGGUGAAAAGCCCGCUCGCCGGAAGACCAAGGGUUCCUGUCCAACGUUAAUCGGGGCAGGGUGAGUCGACCCCUAAGGCGAGGCCGAAAGGCGUAGUCGAUGGGAAACAGGUUAAUAUUCCUGUACUUGGUGUUACUGCGAAGGGGGGACGGAGAAGGCUAUGUUGGCCGGGCGACGGUUGUCCCGGUUUAAGCGUGUAGGCUGGUUUUCCAGGCAAAUCCGGAAAAUCAAGGCUGAGGCGUGAUGACGAGGCACUACGGUGCUGAAGCAACAAAUGCCCUGCUUCCAGGAAAAGCCUCUAAGCAUCAGGUAACAUCAAAUCGUACCCCAAACCGACACAGGUGGUCAGGUAGAGAAUACCAAGGCGCUUGAGAGAACUCGGGUGAAGGAACUAGGCAAAAUGGUGCCGUAACUUCGGGAGAAGGCACGCUGAUAUGUAGGUGAAGCGACUUGCUCGUGGAGCUGAAAUCAGUCGAAGAUACCAGCUGGCUGCAACUGUUUAUUAAAAACACAGCACUGUGCAAACACGAAAGUGGACGUAUACGGUGUGACGCCUGCCCGGUGCCGGAAGGUUAAUUGAUGGGGUUAGCGCAAGCGAAGCUCUUGAUCGAAGCCCCGGUAAACGGCGGCCGUAACUAUAACGGUCCUAAGGUAGCGAAAUUCCUUGUCGGGUAAGUUCCGACCUGCACGAAUGGCGUAAUGAUGGCCAGGCUGUCUCCACCCGAGACUCAGUGAAAUUGAACUCGCUGUGAAGAUGCAGUGUACCCGCGGCAAGACGGAAAGACCCCGUGAACCUUUACUAUAGCUUGACACUGAACAUUGAGCCUUGAUGUGUAGGAUAGGUGGGAGGCUUUGAAGUGUGGACGCCAGUCUGCAUGGAGCCGACCUUGAAAUACCACCCUUUAAUGUUU